UACGGAGGGUGCAAGCGUUGUCCGGAUUUAUUGGGUUUAAAGGGUGCGUAGGCGGCCCUGUAAGUCAGUGGUGAAAUACUGCAGCUUAACUGUAGCAUUGCCAUUGAUACUGUAGGGCUUGAGUACAGAUGAGGUAGGCGGAAUUGAUGGUGUAGCGGUGAAAUGCAUAGAUACCAUCAAGAACACCGAUUGCGAAGGCAGCUUACUAAGCUGUAACUGACGCUGAGGCACGAAAAGCGUGGGGGAUCGAACAGGG
rnacentral:rRNA from 1 species